rnacentral:rRNA from 1 species
CCUACGGGAGGCAGCAGUAGGGAAUCUUCCACAAUGGGCGAAAGCCUGAUGGAGCAACGCCGCGUGGGUGAAGAAGGUCUUCGGAUCGUAAAACCCUGUUGUUAGAGAAGAAAGUGCGUGAGAGUAACUGUUCACGUUUCGACGGUAUCUAACCAGAAAGCCCCGGCUAACUACGUGCCAGCAGCCGCGGUAAUACGUAGGUGGCAAGCGUUAUCCGGAUUUAUUGGGCGUAAAGGGAACGCAGGCGGUCUUUUAAGUCUGAUGUGAAAGCCUUCGGCUUAACCGGAGUAGUGCAUUGGAAACUGGGAGGCUUGAGUGCAGAAGAGGAGAGUGGAACUCCAUGUGUAGCGGUGAAAUGCAUAGAUAUAUGGAAGAACACCAGUGGCGAAAGCGACUAUCUGGACUGUAACUGACGCUGAGGUUCGAAAGCGUGGGUAGCAAACAGGAUUAGAUACCCGAGUAGUC